AGAGCGAACGCUGGCGGCAGGCUUAACACAUGCAAGUCGAGCGGGCGUAGCAAUACGUCAGCGGCAGACGGGUGAGUAACGCGUGGGAACGUACCUUUUGGUUCGGAACAACCCAGGGAAACUUGGGCUAAUACCGGAUAAGCCCUUACGGGGAAAGAUUUAUCGCCGAAAGAUCGGCCCGCGUCUGAUUAGCUAGUUGGUGAGGUAAUGGCUCACCAAGGCGACGAUCAGUAGCUGGUCUGAGAGGAUGAUCAGCCACAUUGGGACUGAGACACGGCCCAAACUCCUACGGGAGGCAGCAGUGGGGAAUAUUGGACAAUGGGCGCAAGCCUGAUCCAGCCAUGCCGCGUGAGUGAUGAAGGCCCUAGGGUUGUAAAAGCUCUUUUGUGCGGGAAGAUAAUGACGGUACCGCAAGAAUAAGCCCCGGCUAACUUCGUGCCAGCAGCCGC
rnacentral:rRNA from 1 species